rnacentral:rRNA from 1 species
GUACUUUGGCAUCAAGGAACUAUUAAAGUCACAACGGCAAAAGAUGAGCAUGCGUCCAUUAGCUAGUUGGUAAGGUAACGGCUUACCAAGGCUACGAUGGGUAGGGGUCCUGAGAGGGAGAUCCCCCACACUGGUACUGAGACACGGACCAGACUCCUACGGGAGGCAGCAGUGAGGAAUAUUGGACAAUGGGCGCAAGCCUGAUCCAGCCAUGCCGCGUGCAGGAUGACGGUCCUAUGGAUUGUAAACUGCUUUUAUACAGGAAGAAACACUCCGACGUGUCGGAGCUUGACGGUACUGUAAGAAUAAGGAUCGGCUAACUCCGUG